ACAAGAGAAGGCUAGAAAGACCGCUUAGACGCUAGUGAGACAGACCCUAGAUGCCGGGCCAGCCUUGUACCGAGGAUGUCUGCAGUGACAACAUGUCAGUGAGGCCCAUGGGGCUUGGCUGGGGUCAAUGGAAGGAAGUGUCGGCUACAAGCCAGGUGGGAUGGGUCUGAGAGAGGCUGGGGAGACUUCGACAUCAAAAGCUCAUGUUGUACAGGGGCCACAUUCUGUGCCUUAGCAUCUUUUCAUCAAAUGCAGUCGCUUAACCUCAACCAGUGAGUAGACCCCACCCAACACCCUCUGUUUCUAAAAGUACCAAAAUUUGGACUUCUGAUAAACCCGAAUUUUUUGCAUACGGGGGUUUACCACAAAGUCCUUCACUGUGUUUUGAAAAGGCCAGUUUGGUUCUGAGCAAAGACCAGUGGUCAGCUUUCUUUGGUCCCCUCCCCCCAUGAUCCACCUCAAGCCUGCUUCUCCCACCUCCUUCCUGGGAAGGCAGAGGAUUCAGAGGCCCACAACGGCUGGGGCCUGUGGUGGGAACACACAGGGGCUAGGGAAAGCAAAUCAAGAUCUGAACCUGAUCCCCAAACCCCAGGGCACAUCUGGUCCACCUCUAAUGACAACUGGACUGGCGCCAUGGGGCACGCAAGCACUCACGCAGUUGGCCGGUGAGCGAUCUGGUACCAGAGCCCGUUUAGCCAAAGCCUGAGCACUGGCCAGUCCUUCCUAAUUUCCAGUCCAGAGGAAUUCUGGACCAAUUCCUAACAAUAGUAGCUACUGGCACACGUCACGAGAGGAAACGCUCCACGUCUAUCUCGCACUUUGUGGAGCUGGAAGAGGAGCGACUUACUUGAGGGGGUACAUCCUCAGGGCCACGCCCAUUCCAGGGCAGUAGGAAAGGAAGGCAGCAAGGGCCGUCUCUUCAAAGAGGCCGAAUAUUAAGAUCUUGUUCCUAAAGAAUCAAGGGGAGAGAAAGCUUAAGGACACAAACAGAAGUUUAUCUUCCAAAGCCAUCCCUGCGUCAAAGGGCAGAUCGAGGUCUCUGUGUAGGAGCUAUACUCAGGAACUUGAGGGCAGAUGAAAAAAAAAAAAAGAAAAUCACAAUUUGCUUCCUAAAUCUCCAAAAGCAAGAUUCCAGAAACUGCCAUGUGUCAGGUGCUGGGGUUUUGCACAGAGUUGAGAAAUCCCCAGACCCCUUGGGUGAGGGCCCUGAGCGCUCCCUACUCACUUCAUCCCCUGCUGGAAGACGGAGUUCCUCCGGGUCUUACAGAUGACCAGGUCAGCCCACUGCACCACCACGAUGCUGACGAAGAAGGCCGUGUGGCAAGUGAACUCCACGAUUUUCCUCUGUUCGUACGUCUGGGACACGGAAGGCAGCCAGGGCCCUUCGCUUCUCCCCUGGCAUCUGGUCUUGCCACACUGCCCCGAAUUCCCCAGGGCACGUUUCCUCCUAUGCUCUGGACCUCCUUAAAAUGAGGUCUCCGAGACCACCUGUUAGCUCCACCGGUGGAGCAGAGAUCAAGCCCGGUGCGGGGUCACCAUGUGGUGACCAGCCAGCCAAACUUUCAAGCUCAUGCAACUUCGUCAAAGCCUAACUCUCUAUCCAAAUCCGUGGCCAGUAUUACGUACCCCCGGGAACAACUGCCUCUGAAUGACCUGUGCCUGGCGAGCUGAGGGACCGCUGAGCCCAGGCUGAAGAACUACGGUUUCCACUAAGAAGUAACUGGGCAGACAGGAGAAGAUUUCUUCUCACUCAAGAGGAUUUUGUACAAAAAGCUCCCUGAGUCUCACACGGUGUCCUGGCUCUUGCUAGAUCUGAAGUCCCCCAAAGCAAGCCCCUAGGCCGCCCCCACCACUACAGACGCUCCCUGCUCAGUGCCGGUGUCCGGGGACAGUGGCUCACCGAUCUGCCCGUAGGCCAUGCUGAUCAGCCGCUCGUUCACAAGCUUGUCCGUCUUGGGGUUUCUGGGCUGUCUCUUCAUGAUGUCGCUCUCAGCUUGCUCGUAAGCAAGGGAGAUGGCAGGAACCUGGGCGGGGGAGGGAGGGAGAAGUAUAAACGUCGUCAGAUACCAGGAAGCUGACUUCGUGAACCUUCCUUGCCCUCUCCCUUUUAAAACCGUGAGAUGUACCAUGAGAUGUUAUUACCA